GUGGGGAAUAUUGGACAAUGGGCGCAAGCCUGAUCCAGCCAUGCCGCGUGAGUGAUGAAGGCCCUAGGGUUGUAAAGCUCUUUCACCGGAGAAGAUAAUGACGGUAUCCGGAGAAGAAGCCCCGGCUAACUUCGUGCCAGCAGCCGCGGUAAUACGAAGGGGGCUAGCGUUGUUCGGAAUUACUGGGCGUAAAGCGCACGUAGGCGGACAUUUAAGUCAGGGGUGAAAGCCCGGGGCUCAACCCCGGAACUGCCUUUGAUACUGGGUGAGUGGAGUAUGGAAGAGGUAAGUGGAAGUCCGAGUGUAGAGGUGAAAUUCGUAGAUAUUCGGAGGAACACCAGUGGCGAAGGCGGCUUACUGGUCCAUUACUGACGCUGAGGUGCGAAAGCGUGGGGAGCAAACAGGAUUAGAAACCCGGGUAGUCC
rnacentral:rRNA from 1 species